CACUCUGCAAGGCUCCCAGGCAGCCGCCUGCAGCCCUGCCCCCCGCCUUCAGGCUCCUGCCCCCUCCAGCUGUCAGCAGCGCCCAGCCUCCACCCCCACAGCUACUGUUGCCAUGAGAACCCUGCAGGGCAGGCAGGAAGAGUGUGCCAGUGAAGGGGAGGAGGUGGCCAAGCUGGAGGCUCCUCUGCCUGGGAGCCUUGUGGCCCCAGGGUGUUGGGCAGUCACUGCAGUCCCUGAGCAGGUGCUGUGGCCCACAGCAAGCUUAGCCUGGCCCCUUAGCCCACAGCCCAUGAGGUCAGGGCCGGGUUCAGGGGUUCGCCUGGUGUGGGGAUGGGUCGACAGUACGUGAACUUGACAGGAUCACACCAUGGACGGCUAUGUUGGGGUUUCAGUGGGCCCUGCUUUGAACAGUGCAGAAUGGGGUAGGUCCUGCCCUUCAGAGCCAAGGGCAUCAGCUCCCCACCCCUCUGCCAAGCUAGAACGUUCCCAGGCCCAAUGCCUUGGGGAGGGGCUGGCAGAGUGGGACGAGGACAUUACCAGGCAGGUAUGGCAGGUCACGUGCAGGCCUUCCCAGGCUGGCAGGGACCGGAUGCAGGAGUGGCCUCACCCAGAGAGGAUGGCAUCCUGGGGACACAAGAGGCUGCAGGGGCCAUCUGGCCCCAGGUACCCGCCAAGAUUUUGGCAUUGGCAGCCUUGAAGCAGAUAGGGCCUGGGGAGAGGCCAGUGGGGCACAGAGUAGCCCAUCUGCUCCUGCCUCGCCCGACAGGAGAUGCGAAUUCCAAGAUGCCCCUGACCAAUCUCUGCAGCCCAGGCCAGGGUUCGGGCCCCUCCUCUCAGGCAAGUGUGUUGGGGUGACACUGGCGGGACUGGCAGGCUGCUCCGGGCCACAAGACUCCUGCUUAGACACUGAGGUCUGUGUCUUGGGGGUGCUGCAGGGACCCUGUGCUCUGCACAGCCCCAAAUUGGAGCCAGUGCAGCUCAUGAUCCCCAGCUCCACGGUGCAGCCCCCACUGGGUGCGGCCCCUUUAAGUACAGCCCCUUCAGCUGCCAUCAGGGGCAGCACUGAGCAGCCAGGCCAGGAUCCGCGCUGCUGCCUGGAAGCUUCUGCCCGUGCCGGGGACGCAGCAGUGCCGGGGACACAGAGGAGCCGACCUGGGGGUGGCACAGCCCACCGGGGCACAGCCAGAGCAGCACCCAGGUGCUUCUGACCCCGGCAUGGAGGAAGCGCCCGCGUUCUCGGCCCAGG
rnacentral:lncRNA from 1 species